UUUUUAUUUGGGUACCCAGCCCAUUUUAAACCUGUGUUUUUUUUCCAGAAAAAAUAGAUCUAUGGACUCAAAAUUUUAUGUGGGUUUUGGGUACCCAGUGGGUUUUAACCCAUCAUUAACAUCUCUAGUAUCAUCUGUGGAAUAUAACCAUGAUCAUCGAACUAAAUUUUUCGUAUAGCUAAUUAUAUAUAUUUGUGUAGUCUAGUGGUGAAUGUACUGUGAACAUGUUUCAGUUACAGUCUUUUCGUUCUAUCGAACCAAUUUUUAUUGUAGGCAGUUUGUUAGUAUUGUACUGUUUAAUAUAA
rnacentral:sRNA from 1 species